GGGGAGUGAAGAAGAACCUGAAGCCGUGGACGUACAAGCAGUGGGAGCACCCUUUGGGGUGUGACUGCGUACCUUUUGUAUAAUGGGUCAGCGACUUAUAUUCUGUAGCAAGGUUAACCGAAUAGGGGAGCCGGAGGGUAACCGAGUCUUAAUUGGGCGUUAAGUUGCAGGGUAUAGACCCGAAACCCGGUGAUCUAGCCAUGGGCAGGUUGAAGGUUGGGUAACACUAACUGGAGGACCGAACCGACUAAUGUUGAAAAAUUAGCGGAUGACCUGUGGCUGGGGGUGAAAGGCCAAUCAAACCGGGAGAUAGCUGGUUCUCCCCGAAAGCUAUUUAGGUAGCGCCUCGUGAAUUCAUCUCCGGGGGUAGAGCACUGUUUCGGCUAGGGGGCCAUCCCGGCUUACCAACCCGAUGCAAACUGCGAAUACCGGAGAAUGUUAUCACGGGAGACACACGGCGGGUGCUAACGUCCGUCGUGAAGAGGGAAACAACCCAGACCGCCAGCUAAGGUCCCAAAGUCAUGGUUAAGUGGGAAACGAUGUGGGAAGGCCCAGACAGCCAGGAUGUUGGCUUAGAAGCAGCCAUCAUUUAAAGAAAGCGUAAUAGCUCACUGGUCGAGUCGGCCUGCGCGGAAGAUGUAACGGGGCUAAACCAUGCACCGAAGCUGCGGCAGCGACGCUGAUGCGUUGUUGGGUAGGGGAGCGUUCUGUAAGCCUGCGAAGGUGGCCUGUGAGGGUUGCUGGAGGUAUCAGAAGUGCGAAUGCUGACAUAAGUAACGAUAAAGCGGGUGAAAAGCCCGCUCGCCGGAAGACCAAGGGUUCCUGUCCAACGUUAAUCGGGGCAGGGUGAGUCGACCCCUAAGGCGAGGCCGAAAGGCGUAGUCGAUGGGAAACGGGUUAAUAUUCCCGUACUUGGUGUUACUGCGAAGGGGGGACGGAGAAGGCUAUGUUGGCCGGGCGACGGUUGUCCCGGUUUAAGCGUGUAGGUGUGUGUUCCAGGUAAAUCCGGUUCACUUUAACACUGAGGCGUGAUGACGAGGCACUACGGUGCUGAAGCAACAAAUGCCCUGCUUCCAGGAAAAGCCUCUAAGCAUCAGGUAACAUCAAAUCGUACCCCAAACCGACACAGGUGGUCAGGUAGAGAAUACCAAGGCGCUUGAGAGAACUCGGGUGAAGGAACUAGGCAAAAUGGUGCCGUAACUUCGGGAGAAGGCACGCUGACACGUAGGUGAAGUGAUUUACUCAUGGAGCUGAAGUCAGUCGAAGAUACCAGCUGGCUGCAACUGUUUAUUAAAAACACAGCACUGUGCAAACACGAAAGUGGACGUAUACGGUGUGACGCCUGCCCGGUGCCGGAAGGUUAAUUGAUGGGGUCAGCGCAAGCGAAGCUCCUGAUCGAAGCCCCGGUAAACGGCGGCCGUAACUAUAACGGUCCUAAGGUAGCGAAAUUCCUUGUCGGGUAAGUUCCGACCUGCACGAAUGGCGUAAUGAUGGCCAGGCUGUCUCCACCCGAGACUCAGUGAAAUUGAACUCGCUGUGAAGAUGCAGUGUACCCGCGGCAAGACGGAAAGACCCCGUGAACCUUUACUAUAGCUUGACACUGAACAUUGAGCCUUGAUGUGUAGGAUAGGUGGGAGGCUUUGAAGUGUGGACGCCAGUCUGCAUGGAGCCGGCCUUGAAAUACCACCCUUUAAUGUUUGAUGUUCUAACGUGGACCCGUGAUCCGGGUUGCGGACAGUGUCUGGUGGGUAGUUUGACUGGGGCGGUCUCCUCCUAAAGAGUAACGGAGGAGCACGAAGGUUGGCUAAUCCUGGUCGGACAUCAGGAGGUUAGUGCAAUGGCAUAAGCCAGCUUGACUGCGAGCGUGACGGCGCGAGCAGGUGCGAAAGCAGGUCAUAGUGAUCCGGUGGUUCUGAAUGGAAGGGCCAUCGCUCAACGGAUAAAAGGUACUCCGGGGAUAACAGGCUGAUACCGCCCAAGAGUUCAUAUCGACGGCGGUGUUUGGCACCUCGAUGUCGGCUCAUCACAUCCUGGGGCUGAAGUAGGUCCCAAGGGUAUGGCUGUUCGCCAUUUAAAGUGGUACGCGAGCUGGGUUUAGAACGUCGUGAGACAGUUCGGUCCCUAUCUGCCGUGGGCGCUGGAGAACUGAGGGGGGCUGCUCCUAGUACGAGAGGACCGGAGUGGACGCAUCACUGGUGUUCGGGUUGUCAUGCCAAUGGCACUGCCCGGUAGCUAAAUGCGGAAGAGAUAAGUGCUGAAAGCAUCUAAGCACGAAACUUGCCCCGAGAUGAGUUCUCCCUGAGACUUAGAGUCUCCUGAAGGAACGUUGAAGACGACGACGUUGAUAGGCCGGGUGUGUAAGCGCAGCGAUGCGUUGAGCUAACCGGUACUAAUGAACCGUGAGGCUUAACCUUACAACGCCGAAG
rnacentral:rRNA from 1 species